rnacentral:rRNA from 1 species
UACGAAGGGGGCUAGCGUUGCUCGGAAUCACUGGGCGUAAAGCGCACGUAGGCGGCUUUCUAAGUCAGGGGUGAAAGCCCCCGGCUCAACUGGGGAGGGUCAUUCGAUACUGAUCGACUCGAAGGCAGGAGAGGGUAGUGGAAUUCCCGGUGUAGUGGUGAAAUGCGUAGAUAUCGGGAGGAACACCAGUGGCGAAGGCGACUACCUGGCCUGUUCUUGACGCUGAGGCGCGAAAGCUAGGGGAGCAAACGGG